rnacentral:misc_RNA from 1 species
UCGUACAAACAUGUGUUGAGGGCGUGUGAGGGCUGUCGCUGACUUUUCGACACAAAAGUUGUGCACGCCGGAGCACGUCCUCUCACAUAAAAUCCAUCUCACCCUUUCGUGCACCACCGCGUGGGCACCCUUUGGGAUCGAAUCGAUCCAGGAGGGGGCUUGCGUUUUCACACAAACCCCUUUUAAAAAGUGUAGAAUGACCCCACUUUGCGAUGACACGCAAUCAAUA